GGGGAAUCUUGCACAAUGGGCGCAAGCCUGAUGCAGCAACGCCGCGUGCGGGAAGAAGGCCCUAGGGUUGUAAACCGCUUUCAGUAGGGAAGAAAAUGACGGUACCUACAGAAGAAGGUGCGGCCAACUACGUGCCAGCAGCCGCGGUAACACGUGGGCACCAAGCGUUAUCCGGAUUUAUUGGGCGUAAAGAGCUCGUAGGCGGUUCGGUAAGUCGGGUGUGAAAACUCUGGGCUCAACCCAGAGAGGCCACUCGAUACUGCUGUGACUAGAGUGCGGUAGGGGAGCGGGGAAUUCAUGGUGUAGCGGUGAAAUGCGCAGAUAUCAUGAGGAACACCAGCGGCGAAGGCGCCGCUCUGGGCCGUAACUGACGCUGAGGAGCGAAAGCAUGGGUAGCAAAC
rnacentral:rRNA from 1 species